AAAACCAAAAAAUAAUUAAUUUCAACUUUUGUUUUAUGCAGUUGAUACCGGUCAGGAUAUUAAAGCGAAGUUAUAAAUUAACCCUUAAUUCGACUAUGUGCGGUAUACUUCCCAUUGAAUGGAAAAAAAAACUGCAUAUUAAAAUAUACCAUAUAUUCAGUGCUCUGGGUGCUAUAAGGCAUCCUUAAUUAUUUAACUACGUGGUCAAAAAUCAGCAACGGGUGCACUUGAUCUGGACGCGAACGAUCGGCGGCGAUAUGACAGUAAGGAAGGACGUGCCGCGAGGGCUUUCAAAUUCAAAUACGCUUAAGUAGCCGACAUCAUGCCAUUAAAAAGAUUCGAGCACAUUAGACGCAACAUUCAUUUUGUGGACAACACCUAUCCGGAUGAGGACCGGUAUUAUAAGAUACAUCCGUUCAUUGAAAAAAUAAGAAGAAACUGCCUUUCGACAAAAGAAGAAAUGAAGUAUAGUAUAGAAGAAAUAGCCAUACCAUACAAGAGCACUAAAGCAGAAAACCGGAGGCAGAAUAAUCUUAUGAAACCCAAUAAAUGGGGAUUCAAGAACUUGUUAACAUAGAUGUACCGGAAGUUGACACUUUUCGGUAAAUCUAUUUUAGGGAGGAGGAACAGCAGAUGACACUGGGUGCAAAAAUGGUAUUAGCCCUUUGUAAAACAAUUCAGAUUCCAGGAUGUUCUGUAUAUUUCGAUAAUUUUUUCUUGACGGCCGACUUGAUCUGGUAUAUACGUGAUCACCGAGGAAUAUUCAGUCUCGGAACCAUAUGACAAAAUAGACUGAAAGGUUGCAUCAAUGGCCUGUUAAGUGACAAGUAACUAAAGAAAAGAAGCAGAGGUUCGUUUAGCCAAGUCGUAGACAACGACAAAAGGAUAGCAGCUGUCAAAUGGUACGAUAAUAAAGUUCUAACAUUGGCUUAUGUAGAAUCUUACCCAGUUCAUGAAAUCAAGAGAUGGAGUAAAGAAUAGAAAAAGAAAGUGGGUGUCCCAUGUCCACAAUUAGUUCGAUAUUAUAAUCAACAUAAUAUGGGUGGAGUCGACCUGUGCGACAUGCUGAUAGCUCUCUAUAGAAUAUCUUUCAAAAGCCGACGUUGGUACAUGAAUAUUUCUGGCCAAAUGUUAGAUAUGGCAGUUAAUAGUGCUUGGCUUCUCUAUAAGAGGAAAUGCAACAAAAAGAGCCUAAAAAUAUUAGUCUGAAAAAGCUCAGACAAAGAUUGGCGGUUGAAUUGACGCAAAAACGAAGGUCAGUUCAACCACCAAGUCAGUUAUCGAAAAAGGUUUAUGUACAUUAAUCUCCAUGUACAGAAUAUAAGUGACUUGUUCCUAAUAGUAAUGUUCCUAAGGAGAAUAUAAAUGAAUAUUUUAUGAAAAAAUUA